rnacentral:rRNA from 1 species
GACUGACUGAGUGCCAGCCGCCGCGGUAAUACGUAGGUGGCAAGCGUUGUCCGGAAUUAUUGGGCGUAAAGGGAGCGCAGGCGGGAAGUUAAGCGGACUUUAAAAGUGCGGGGCUCAACCCCGUGAGGGGGUCCGAACUGACUUUCUUGAGUGCAGGAGAGGGAAGCGGNAUUCCUAGUGUAGCGGUGAAAUGCGUAGAUAUUAGGAAGAACACCAGUGGCGAAGGCGGCUUUCUGGACUGUAACUGACGCUGAGGCUCGAAAGCUAGGGUAGCGAACGGGAUUAGAUACCCCGGUAGUCCUAGCCGUAAACGAUGGAUACUAGGUGUGGGAGGUAUCGACCCCUUCCGUGCCGGAGUUAACGCAAUAAGUAUCCCGCCUGGGGAGUACG